rnacentral:rRNA from 1 species
UACGUAGGUGGCAAGCGUUGUCCGGAUUUACUGGGCGUAAAGAGCGCGCAGGCGGUCGUUCAAGUCGCGUGUGAAAGCCCCCCGGCUCAACUGGGGAGGGUCACGCGAUACUGAUCGACUCGAAGGCAGGAGAGGGUAGUGGAAUUCCCGGUGUAGUGGUGAAAUGCGUAGAUAUCGGGGAGGAACACCAGUGGCGAAGGCGGCUCACUGGCCCGGUACUGACGCUGAGGUGCGAAAGCGUGGGGAGCAAACAGG